CAAAGUUAUCUUAAGUCAAACUUUUCUAUGUUUGACCAAAUUUAUAGAAAAAAUAUAAAUAUUUGUGAUGCCAAAUGAUCACAUUAUAAAAAUAUAGUUUAUGGUGUAUCUAAUGAUACUAAUUUGGUGCCAUAAAUCUUAGCGCUCUUUUCUACAAAUUCGGUCAAACUUAAAAAAGUUUGACUUAAGACAACUCUAG
rnacentral:pre_miRNA from 1 species